GACGAACGCUGGCGGCGUGCUUAACACAUGCAAGUCGAACGGAAAGGCCCUGCUUUUGUGGGGUGCUCGAGUGGCGAACGGGUGAGUAACACGUGAGUAACCUGCCCUUGACUUUGGGAUAACUUCAGGAAACUGGGGCUAAUACCGGAUAGGAGCUCCUGCUGCAUGGUGGGGGUUGGAAAGUUUCGGCGGUUGGGGAUGGACUCGCGGCUUAUCAGCUUGUUGGUGGGGUAGUGGCUUACCAAGGCUUUGACGGGUAGCUGGCCUGAGAGGGUGACCGGCCACAUUGGGACUGAGAUACGGCCCAGACUCCUACGGGAGGCAGCAGUGGGGAAUAUUGCACAAUGGGCGGAAGCCUGAUGCAGCAACGCCGCGUGCGGGAUGACGGCCUUCGGGUUGUAAACCGCUUUCGCCUGUGACGAAGCGGGAGUGACGGUAAUGGGUAAAGAAGCACCGGCUAACUACGUG
rnacentral:rRNA from 1 species